AUCUUUAGCUCAGUUGGUUAGAGCUCCCGGCUCAUAACCGGUUGGUCGUAGGUUCGAGUCCUACAAGAUCC
rnacentral:tRNA from 2 species